rnacentral:lncRNA from 1 species
ACUCACAGACCUGCCCUCCAGCACAUAGCACACAGCACACAGGCGGGCCACAGGCACCCAUUUACUGCCAAGCCAUACAUCACAGAUGGAGAAUGUCACCCAGGGGUCCACCAACUUUGUGCCCAGCCUGCAGCUGGAGCCACCACAAUGUGCAAGUACGUGGUGGUCAGAUGAGAAAGAGAGGCGAAGAAACUUCAGCUUUAUGAAGAAAAAUGAACUGGAGACUCGAGGGUAGAAAGGUCACCCUUGUGAGUGGCCAACCCUGCCACUUAGGGCCAUGGUGAAGUCCCAGUCCCAGCUGAGUGCCAUGUCUGGGUCAGUGGCAGGGAUCAGUGUUGGUGGAUGUCCGUGGCUUAUAUUACCAUUAGAGAACAUGAGGACUCCCUGGUUGGGGCUGCUGAUGGAAAUUACAUGGAUGCCCUAGCUCACCCCAUCGCUCACUGGAUCAGCCUGAAUGUGGCACUCUGAAGAGUUCGCCCCAUCUCUUACUGCUGGCAGCACUCAGGAGAGCCAGCCCUGUGCCCGGCUCAGACAGCACAGUGGAGCUGACCCUUGUGGUAGGGAAAUGGGUGAGCCAGCCUGGUGUCCUGAACUUGGGAAAGUUAACCCAGCCAGUCAUCUAACAUGAGAUGGUACAGGCACAGGUGAUGCCUUCACCUCCUGCCACGAGCUCAGGAAAGCUAACCUUGCUCCUCAACAGAUCUAACACUUGGGAGAGUGGUCCUGCAUCUCGCCUGGACAGCACAUCAGAACUGACCGUGAUGAUCAAGGUUCAGGUGAACCAGCCCGAAGGGAAAGAGCAUCAUGGGAGAGCUGGCCCUGCCACUCCUUUGCUGAGAGGUGGUGUGGGUGUAGGGAGGAUGUUCUCCUCCCAACCACCACCACCUGAAGCAGUCGGGAGAACUGACCCUGAGAUCUUGAGAAUGAGAGAGCUGGUUCUGUCCGUUGCCGGCUGCAGCACUCGGGAGACUGGACACUGAUCCGUGUCUGGGCAGCACAGUGAAGUUGGCCCUGGUGGAGGGUUCAUAAGUGAGUAAGUCGGCCCCAAGGGUGAGAGCACUGGAGAGCUGGCUCUAGGGUCAUGAAAGAUGGAAAGCUGGUCCCGACCUUCACUGGUUGUAGCACUACGAAGAGUAGGUCCUGUACCUCGCAUGGUCAAUGCAGUGGAGGUGGCCCUAACGACAAAAGCACAGGUGAGCCAGUCCUUAGGAUAUAAGAGCGGCAGAGCUGGCUUAGCCCCUCACAGGCUGCAGCAUAUGGGACACCUUGAUUGGGCAGCACAGUGGAGCUGGCUCUGGAGGCCUGGGUGCAGGCAAGUCGGCUCCAAGGGCAUGAAAGCAAGAGAGCUGACCCUGCCUUCUACAGAUGGUGGCAUUCGGUGGCCUAGCUGGAACAAUGCUGGAAAGCUUGCCCUGGUGCUGCAGAUAAGGGAAAGCUUGCACACUGAUGAGCUUAGUAGCUGCCACCCAGUUCCAGAACCAGGGCUCUGAGUUGGCCCACCCCAACAUCUGUAUCAUCUACAAAUAGUUGGAAUGCAUAAAGGGGCCAAUCCUGCUGAUCCAGGGAUGCAGGGUAUCCCACGAUACACAGCAGCAAUGGGAGGACCUGGAGGCAUCCCAUAAUGAUACAAUAUUGAUGGUGUCACAGAGGCCAGAGAUCUCGGGCCAGACUUAGGACUCGAAGCAGCAAACAUUUGCAAGUGAAGAUGUGUAGAAAGAGGGAUAGACUGUGGGACACCCUGUGACACACUACAGCUUCCAUGGAGAAGCAAAGGAAUACAGGAUUCACAUUUAGCAGGAGCCACCAAGUCAAUGAACAGAGGGAAACUCAUCUAAGAAGCUUAAAGAUGGGAUUCAGUGUAAAUCCCCACGGGUAUUGUUGAGGUGACAGGGACAGAGCUCCAUUUGGUUCUCUGUAACGGCCUGAGGAGUUCCCCUAAACUGUAGGGACCUCAAUGCACACUAAACUGAUUUUUGGCUUUAAGCCUGAAGGGACUUUUAGGACUGGUUUGUGUACAAAGGUUUUCCACAAGACAACAAUUGUUGCUUAGACACAGCAAAUAAUUUGGAUAAAGUCUGUGAAGAUCUAAAAGACCCUUGCUUCUCCAAUCUCUGCCAAGGAAUUGACACUUGUGUGAAUGCCUCAGAAGAAAGGACCUUCCUGUUUCAAUGUCCUCCUGGGUACACAGACACGAGGGGCUCAAGACACUGGUGACAUAGGUGUCUUCCCAGGCAAGCUAUUAAAGUCCCUUCAACCUCAGGACUGUGGUGUGUUUGUUGGGUUUCCCUGUUAGUCUGUGGUGUAUCAUGGGCUGCAUCCCCUGAAAUCUCCACGCCUUUCGGUAGAAGGAAACAGGUGCCUCCCCACUUUGGAGACUUUAUUAAAGCUUAGCAAGGUCAGAAGAUAAGAAAUAGGAAAAAAAAAAAAAAGAAGCAGAAUUAGGAUUUUGAGGAGAAAUGUCAGGGGACAAGGCCAAAGGAAAAUAAAUUGAAACAUUUCAAAGACAAUGAAAACCAAGACAAAGUUCCAAAAGCAAACAAAAUGCUGAUAAAAAUGCUUUUAGAGAUCCAAAGCAAGCAAUCAAACCAAAUCAACCCAAACCAAAUGCCUACACCAACAUGUUUUAAAAGCAAAUAAAUUAACCAGAUUUCAUAAACCAACUACAUUGGGAACAGACCAAAAAGGUAUCUGUUAAAGUAGAAUCCUUGAUAAUCAGCUCAGAAAGAACAGAUAGACCAAAACCAAACCAACGGAUUCCCUAAGCCCUGGAAAGAACUUACCGACAUUGCACUUGAGGAAGAGUCUGGACUGACUGGGUCUGUGCAGACACCCAUCUUCCACUCACUUGGUUCCUUCAGUGAAAAGUGGAUGACUUUCAAGACCCAUGUGUGGCACCACAAUUGUCAACAAAAUCAACACAGCUCUUGUCUUACAGGAAACAUGAGUUUAUUCUGGAGCCAUCUUGAAUGACCAUGGAUGGCCCUGGGAAUGCAGAUUUAGGUUUCCCCAAAUUCCAUGUUCCCUGCUAUGGGUUUCUGACAGACAACACCAGGUAAAAUCAUCUUCAUUCUGCUCCUUAUUUCCAAGGUUUUAUGCUUUAAGGAAAAUUACAUACCUGAUUUCGGUAAACACUUUCUGUGUGAUUGAUAAGAUUGUUUCUCUCAUAAUACACAAAUUAAAUAAUCAUAAAAGUUUUAGAC